GACGAACGCUGGCGGCGUGCUUAACACAUGCAAGUCGAACGGAAAGGCCCUGCUUGCAGGGUACUCGAGUGGCGAACGGGUGAGUAACACGUGGGUGAUCUGCCCUGCACUUCGGGAUAAGCCUGGGAAACUGGGUCUAAUACCGGACAGGAGCCAUCUUCAGUGUGAUGGUUGGAAAGUUUUUUCGGUGUAGGAUGAGCUCGCGGCCUAUCAGCUUGUUGGUGGGGUUAUGGCCUACCAAGGCGGCGACGGGUAGCCGGCCUGAGAGGGUGGACAGCAAGAUUGAGAGUGAAAAGAGGACCGGAAUGCUCAGGGGAGCAAGAGGGGGGAAUAGUAGCAAGAGGAGCGAAACCAAAUCCAGCCACCCCGCAUGGGAGAAGAUGGCCUUCGGGUUGGAAACGACUUGCGAUAGGAACAGUGAAUUUUUUCACGGUAGAUUGAAAAGGAGCACCAGGAAACAACGU
rnacentral:rRNA from 1 species